rnacentral:rRNA from 1 species
GACGAACGCUGGCGGCGUGCUUAACACAUGCAAGUCGAACGGAAAGGCCCUGCUUUUGUGGGGUGCUCGAGUGGCGAACGGGUGAGUGACACGUGAGUAACCUGCCCUUGACUUUGGGAUAACUUCAGGAAACUGGGGCUAAUACCGGAUAGGAGCUCCUGCUGCAUGGUGGGGGUUGGAAAGUUUCGGCGGUUGGGGAUGGACUCGCGGCUUAUCAGCUUGUUGGUGGGGUAGUGGCUUACCAAGGCUUUGACGGGUAGCCGGCCUGAGAGGGUGACCGGCCACAUUGGGACUGAGAUACGGCCCAGACUCCUACGGGAGGCAGCAGUGGGGAAUAUUGCACAAUGGGCGGAAGCCUGAUGCAGCAACGCCGCGUGCGGGAUGACGGCCUUCGGGUUGUAAACCGCUUUCGCCUGUGACGAAGCGUGAGUGACGGUAAUGGGUAAAGAAGCACCAGCUAACUACGUG